GACGAACGCUGGCGGCGUGCUUAACACAUGCAAGUCGAACGGAAAGGCCCUGCUUUUGUGGGGUGCUCGAGUGGCGAACGGGUGAGUAACACGUGAGUAACCUGCCCUUGACUUUGGGAUAACUUCAGGAAACUGGGGCUAAUACCGGAUAGGAGCUCCUGCUGCAUGGUGGGGGUUGGAAAGUUUCGGCGGUGGGGGAUGGACUCGCGGCUUAUCAGCUUGUUGGUGGGGUAGUGGCUUACCAAGGCUUUGACGGGUAGCCGGCCUGAGAGGGUGACCGGCCACCUUGGGCCUGCGAUACGGCCCAGACUCCUACGGGAGGCAGCAGUGGGGAAUAUUGCACAAUGGGCGGAAGCCUGAUGCAGCAACGCCGCGUGCGGGAUGCCGGCCUUCGGGUUGUAAACCGCUUUCGCCUGUGACGAAGCGUGAGUGACGGUAAUGGGUAAAGAAGCACCGGCUAACUACGUG
rnacentral:rRNA from 1 species